GACGAACGCUGGCGGCGUGCUUAACACAUGCAAGUCGAACGAAGAGCGAUGGAAGCUUGCUUCUAUCAAUCUUAGUGGCGAACGGGUGAGUAACGCGUAAUCAACCUGCCCUUCAGAGGGGGACAACAGUUGGAAACGACUGCUAAUACCGCAUACGAUCUAAUCUCGGCAUCGAGGAUAGAUGAAAGGUGGCCUCUACAUGUAAGCUAUCACUGAAGGAGGGGAUUGCGUCUGAUUAGCUAGUUGGAGGGGUAACGGCCCACCAAGGCGAUGAUCAGUAGCCGGUCUGAGAGGAUGAACGGCCACAUUGGGACUGAGACACGGCCCAGACUCCUACGGGAGGCAGCAGUGGGGAAUCUUCCGCAAUGGACGAAAGUCUGACGGAGCAACGCCGCGUGAGUGAUGACGGCCUUCGGGUUGUAAAGCUCUGUUAAUCGGGACGAAAGGCCUUCUUGCGAAUAGUGAGAAGGAUUGACGGGACCGGAAUAGAAAGCCACGGCUAACUACGU
rnacentral:rRNA from 1 species